rnacentral:rRNA from 1 species
UACAGAGGGUGCAAGCGUUGUUCGGAAUUAUUGGGCGUAAAGCGCGUGUAGGCGGCUUUGCAAGUCGGGUGUGAAAGCCCUCAGCUCAACUGAGGAAGUGCGCCCGAAACUGCAGAGCUUGAGUACCGGAGAGGAUGGUGGAAUUCCCCAAGUAGAGGUGAAAUUCGUAGAUAUGGGGGAGGAACACCGGUGGCGAAGGCGACCAUCUGGACGGAUACUGACGCUGAGACGCGAAAGCGUGGGUAGCAAACAGG